rnacentral:lncRNA from 1 species
UGCUUGCUUAGAAGAUCCAUACUUUUUCACUCAUAUGACCCAAGAACAUGUGUCAUAAUUUGGUAACGUCAUUAUCAUGCAUAGAAGAAGAUGCGGUUCUUGAACUUCUCACAAUAGAGCAUUGCAAGGUAUAAAUUACCAACUCAGUUGGCUUUCAAUAAUACAAGCACACCUUUUCAUACCUUUAAAACUCUACCUUCGAUUGAAUAUUACCAUCCGAUAGACUCGAGGGUGCCAAGAGAAAUUAAGUUUCUCUUCAAAUCUGGGAACGAUAGAAAUUAGCCAAUGUUCUAACAAUGUCAUUAUGAAUCUUGAUAAAAAAAAAUACCUAUUCUUGCAAUAUUGUACUGCGUAUCAUUGUCCAUCAAAGCAACACCACUAUUAAUUUGUUCAAAAUUGGUAAAAAAAAAGUCCUUCUAAGGAUAUAUAUGAAAAGUACAUCCAUAAUCAAGAAUCCAUUUUAUUUUAAUCCUCAUAUUAUAAGAGAUAACAAAUUAAAGAAAAUCAUCAUCACAGUUGGCUUCAAUAUUAGCAGCUUUAGGGGAUUGUUGAAAUUUUCCAUUUUUUUGGUUUUCUUAUUUUUUCUUCAAGAUAAAACAAUUAGGAAUAUCAUGCCCAUGUUUCUUGCAACAGCGAAAGGUUUUGAUGAACUUUUGUCCCCUGGAUUUGGAUUUGAACUUUUUAUUACUAAUACUCUCAUUUUCUUGAGUUCUACCUCAAACACUUAAACCAUCACCCUUGUGCUUAGAAUAAAUUUCAAGAUAAACAAAUUAUUUGGAAAAUAUAUUAGAUUUAACAUCUUGAAAGGAUAUGGUCAAAUUUUGUAGACAUUUUGAAAUUCCUAUAUGAACAAGAGCUCCAAUACCACUUGUUAGGAAUAUUAGCACUAUGUGAAGUAUAAGAUUGGAUUAAUCGAGAAUGAUAGUGAAGAAAGUAAAGUAACAAGAAAAAGAACACACAAGAUUUACAUUGAAAACCCCAUUCGGUGUGAUAGGUAAAAAACCAUGGGAAAUCACGAGCAAAAUACAAUUAUAUAAAAAAGAUAGUAGAACAAAUCCUUAGUAAUGAGAACAAAAAACAAUAUUUUCUCUCAAAUAUUUUCUGAAAAUGGAAAAAGAUUUUUCACCCAAAUAUUCACUCAAUAAACCUCUUGUGUUUUGUAUUUUUUAUGGAAGGUGUUGUGAUAUUGUGUUGAGGCCAAAGGUGCUCCUUUUACAAGCAAGAUAGUUGGUUAUAAUAAACACUGUUAGCAAUGGCGUAAGCAGUAUAGAGAUGUGAGUGAAAGCUGUAAAAUUCUUAGCCAUUAAGAAAAUGUUAGCAGUGCAGCAGGGAGCUAUAUUGUUGAAGUCAACAUUGGUGGAUUCCAUGAGUUAUUCUUUUGCUGAAAAAAACAGUACUUACAAUGUUACUAAUGCAUUGAAGAAGUUGCACAUAUUUUGUUGAAUUUGGGUUGUUGUCUUCCUCUUUAUCAUCUCUUAUAUGUAUUGAUGGUGGAAGCAAACCAACUGGAACCAGAGGCACAGUGUACAUGGCAGAAAGAUAAUCUUGCAAUUCUCCUUCAAGCUCUC